UAUCAGCCUUUUGGGUGUGAUUUUGUGGAGCGUGAGGAGUUAAACGCCUUCAUGCCUGUAUAUUCGUGCACUUUGGGUGUACUUGCCCGUAUGGUUGGUUAACAUCAAUUUUGGUGGUCAUAAAAUGACUGGAGGAAUGUAGCUUCGAUCUCGUAUUGAAGUGUUAUAGCCUUCGGUAGAUGUGAUGAUCGAGAUUGAGGAUUGCAACGGAUACCCUUCGGGGCUACCUGUCUGAUCUCUGAUCGUUGCUCUGGUACCGAAAGCUUGCUUACGGUUAUCAAAGUCGAUGGUCAAAAGGUUAGAACGGGUUAAAUUCGUUAAGGAUGUUGACGUA
rnacentral:rRNA from 1 species